rnacentral:rRNA from 1 species
GGGUUAGUAGGUUGGUCAUGCCUCCGGUAUGUACUGGCCUCACUGAUUCCUCCUUCCUGAUGAACCGUAAUGCCAUUAAUUUGGUGUUGCGGGGAAUUUGGACUGUUACUUUGAAAAAAUUAGAGUGUUUAAAGCAAGCUAACGCUUGAAUACAUUAGCAUGGAAUAAUGAAAUAGGACGUUCGAUCCUAUUUUGUUGGUUUCUAGGAUUGACGUA